rnacentral:tRNA from 1 species
ACGGUGGUGGCGAAAUAGGUAAACGCAUUAGAUUUAGGAUCUAACAGAAAUAAAUAUAAAUUCUAUGAGAGUUCGAGUCUCUCCUUCCGUA